rnacentral:lncRNA from 1 species
AAUAAUCUCUAAGGGAGCUACCAUUUGAUUUUUAUGGGGGGGGCUAGGAUGAAAUUUGAAAAAAAUAGGCAGGACAGGAGUUUUGAGUAAAAAAAAAGGCAGGAUGAGACACUUUGCAAAAAAAAAAGGCAGGAUGACAAUUUAGGUAAAAAAAGUCAGGAUAAACUAAUAAAAAAAAAUGGUAGGACCGAAUAGAGUGAAAAAUAAAAAGGCAGGACAGAGAUUACAACUAAAAAAAAAAAUGCAGGACAAAAUUUUUCAUCCUAGCCCCCCCAUAAAAAUCAAAUGGUAGCUCCCUAAUGCA